AACGAACGCUGGCGGUGUGCUUAACACAUGCAAGUCGAACGAGAAAGUUUCCUUCGGGGAACUAGUAAAGUGGCGCAAGGGUGAGUAACACGUGAAUAAUCUGCCCUCGAGAUCGGGAUAACUUGGCGAAAGCUAAGCUAAUACCGGAUAAGACCACAUUUCAUAAGAAAUGGGGGAAAAGGAGUCUCAAUCUUCACUCGAGGAUGGGUUCGCGGACCAUUAGCUUGUUGGUGAGAUAAAAGCUCACCAAGGCUACGAUGGAUAGCCGACCUGAGAGGGUGAACGGCCACACUGGAACUGAGACACGGUCCAGACUCCUACGGGAGGCAGCAGUGGGGAAUAUUGCACAAUGGAGGCAACUCUGAUGCAGCAAUGUCGCGUGAGUGAAG
rnacentral:rRNA from 1 species